GUUUUCCAUGUUGCUUACUACAUUGUCAUAAAAAUUUUAUUGCUUGACAGAUUGCUUUGAAUAUUUAUGAAAGUAAUAAUUUCUUCUAUUUGGGUUUUUAGCGUGCGACUCUUAAAUCGCAUAUGGACUUUUUACGUAUCUUUGUAUCGUAUUAUGAUAUGUGUAGAUAUGUUCCCAAUUUGAUACAGAAUGAAAAGGCGACAGGCUCGUGCAACUUGUCUAUGUUGCCAUAUCAUCUCUUUAAGCAAAAUACCGACAUUGAGCUGAUCAAGCUCAUUGUGUAUCAUUGUGUCCAGCUUUUGAUACGCAAUCAGUUUCAUUUUAACUGUGAUGAUAUCAUAUGAAUAACAAAUCCGUACGUAGCUGAACUUUAUUCUGUCUGAACAUGCUAUUUGCACUUUCAGAAAUAUGGCAUGGUGCGUUUGCCAUUUUCAAAUAGAUGACUCUGUAGAAGUUGUUCCAAAUAAUUGGAUAACUAGUGAAAAGCAAUGUGUGUGGCCAUUGACGAUAAAAUUAUCUAAAUUAUCUGAGCUUAUUAAAAAAAAAGACAUUCCAAAGAUGAUUGGAAAACAAUGAGUAUCAGAGUUUUAGGACGAUAUGACGACUAUAAAACAGCUCAAAGAAAAUGCAAAAUAACAUUGGUUAAAGAUAAUCUCUCAUCACUAUUUGAAUCUGUUGAAUAUGGAAAAGUACUUCGUGUACCGAAACCUAAAAGAGAAAAUACAGUGAUAUAGACACUGACACGGAAAACGAGUGUAGCAAAGAGGAAUUGUCCAUUAAUUUUCCGACAUAUAAAGCAGAUAAAACUGUAUUUUCACCAAAUUCGGCACAUAAAAGUACAGUUAAUUAAGUGAAAAAAUUAUGAAGAAUUUUGACAAUUUCAACGCCAAGUUCUACGACACCUACAAAGCAUUAAUGGUCGAAUGGGAGAAUUAAAUAAGCACGUAGAAUCAUUAAAGCAGCCUAAUUUUCCCGUUGAUCAAGAAAAUGCUAAUCAAAAUAUCACAAGUGAACUCUCAUUACAAUGCAUUGAAAGUUUGCCAGUGAAAUCAAACAUCGAGCUUCAAGAAAUUGAGAGAACUUUACAAGGCUACAAAAUUGUCAAAAAUGGGUAGUAAUCUACAAAUCAUUGUCAAGAAAGUAAUGUGUCGAAUUUUAACACCCGAAAUUGGAAGAGAAAACAGCUGGGAGGGGCAUAAGGGAAACCUGAUUUUUAAGGAUUUAAUUUUGGUGAAAUUAGUCCUUAAAUCCGUCAGACUCACCACAA